rnacentral:tRNA from 1 species
UCUUUGGUGGUCCAAUGGUUAGGAUUUAGCAUUUUUACUGCCAUAGCCAGGGUUCAGUCCCUGACUGGGAG